AGAAUCAACGCUGGCGGCGUGCCUAACACAUGCAAGUCGAACGAGAAAGUGGGAGCAAUCCCAUGAGUAAAGUGGCGCACGGGUGAGUAACACGUGACUAACCUACCCUUGAGUGGGGGAUAACCUAGGGAAACCUGGGCUAAUACCGCAUAAUACCUACGGGUCAAAGGAGCAAUUCGCUUUAGGAGGGGGUCGCGGCAGAUUAGUUAGUUGGCGGGGUAAUGGCCCACCAAGACAGUGAUCUGUAUCCGGCCUGAGAGGGCGCACGGACACACUGGAACUGAAACACGGUCCAGACUCCUACGGGAGGCAGCAGUGGGAAUUUUGCGCAAUGGGGGAAACCCUGACGCAGCAACGCCGCGUGGAGGAUGAAGCCCCUUGGGGCGUAAACUCCUUUCGAUCGGAAGAUAAUGACGGUACCGGAAGAAGAAGCCCGGCUAACUUCGCGCCAGCAGCCGC
rnacentral:rRNA from 1 species